rnacentral:rRNA from 1 species
CUAUCGCUUACAGAUGGGCCCGCGGUGCAUUAGCUAGUUGGUAGGGUAAUGGCCUACCAAGGCAACGAUGCAUAGCCGACCUGAGAGGGUGAUCGGCCACACUGGGACUGAGACACGGCCCAGACUCCUACGGGAGGCAGCAGUAGGGAAUCUUCCGCAAUGGACGAAAGUCUGACGGAGCAACGCCGCGUGUAUGAAGAAGGUUUUCGGAUCGUAAAGUACUGUUGUUAGAGAAGAACAAGGAUAAGAGUAACUGCUUGUCCCUUGACGGUAUCUAACCAGAAAGCCACGGCUAACUACGUGCCAGCAGCCGCGGUAAUACGUAGGUGGCAAGCGUUGUCCGGAUUUAUUGGGCGUAAAGCGCGCGCAG